rnacentral:rRNA from 1 species
AUUGAACGCUGGCGGCAUGCCUAACACAUGCAAGUCGAACGGUAACAGGUCUUCGGAUGCUGACGAGUGGCGGACGGGCGAGUAAGACAUCGGAACGUGCCCUAUCGUGGGGGAUAACGAGGGGAAAGCUAUGCUAAUACCGCAUACGAUCUACGGAUGACAGCGGGGGAUCUUCGUACCCCGCUCGGACGGAGCGGCCGGUGGCAGAUGAGGUAGGUGGUGGGCUAAACGCUUACCAAGCCGAAGAUCUGUAGCGGGUCUGAGCGGAUGAUCAGCCACACUGGAACUGGGACACGCCCCAGACUCCUACGGGAGGCACCAGUGGCGUAUUUUGGACAGUGGGCGAAAGCCUGAUCCAGCCAUGCCGCGUGCAGGAUGAAGGCCUUUGGGUUGUAAACUGCUUUUGUGCGGAACGAACAGCCUCUUUCUAAUAAAGAGGGGUCAUGACGGUACCGUAAGAAUAAGCACCGGCUAACUACGUG